AAGUCCCAGAACAGGUUGUGUGUGCCCCUUGAGGCGUUCAUCCAGCACUGUUUCAGAGAAAUCCCUAUUUCAAUCUAUUCCUAUACGUUAGUUAUUGAAAAGCAAUAGACAAUCACAAAAAACAAGUUGACCUUUUUGUGUUCCUUGAGCCAAAGGGCCCUCAUGACUGGGCCUCACACCGAAUAACUCGUUACAAAAAGAGCUAGGGUCCCAGACUGCGCCAAAGCUUCAGGAGACUGCUCCUCGUCUGUGCACAGAUGAGUGGCCAACUCUGGAGCCCAGGUUGUUGCUUCCUAGUCUGGUGGUGAAUCCUUCAUAGUCUGGGGAUGACUUCUGAACUUGGCUUUGAG
rnacentral:lncRNA from 1 species